rnacentral:rRNA from 1 species
GACGAACGCUGGCGGCGUGCUUAACACAUGCAAGUCGAACGAAGAGCGAUGGAAGCUUGCUUCUAUCAAUCUUAGUGGCGCACGGGUGAGUAACGCGUAAUCAACCUGCCCUUCAGAGGGGGACAACAGUUGGAAACGACUGCUAAUACCGCAUACGAACUAACCUCGGCAUCGAGGAUAGAUGAAAGGUUGCCUCUACAUGUAAGCUAUCACUGAAGGAGGGGAGUGCGUCUGAUUAGCUAGUUGGAGGGGUAACGGCCCACCAAGGCGAUGAUCAGUAGCCGGUCUGAGAGGAUGAACGGCCAAAUUGGGACUGGGACACGGCCCAGACUCCUACGGGAGGCAGCAGUGGGGAAUCUUCCGCAAUGGACGAAAGUCUGACGGAGCAACGCCGCGUGAGGGAUGACGGCCUUCGGGUUGGAAAGCUCUGUUAAUCGGGACGAAAGGCCUUCUUGCGAAUAGUGAGAAGGAUUGACGGUACCGGAAGAGAAAGCCACGGCUAACUACGUG